AUGGCGUCCUCUCCUUUUAACCAUAAGCAGGAGAAAGAAACGGAGAAGACAGUGCAUUUACUUCUUAAAACCGUCAGUCCGUGUGUGGUGGACAUCACUCCUGCUUACAUUCUGUCGGCAAGAGCAGCUUUCUGGCUACUCUGGGUGCAAGAAGAUAUCAAAAUUCAAGGAAUCCUGUGUUGUAAAGUAAACAGAAGAAAAGGAAGCAAGAGCACACAGAUGACACUCUGAAAAACUUUGGGAUUUAGUGCCUUUUUGAGACUUUCCUAUCCCAGAACAGAACACUCAGGGGCUGUGGGUACUGCUAUUGGAGAGAAGACCUGGGCUCCUGGAAAGGACUGAACUGUCUUUAUAUUGACAUCUGAAGUGAAGAGGCUUUGAAGACCUUCAGAAAUAUUUUCCCAUUACUCAUCCUUUAAACUGGAUCUUGGGAAUGCAGAUGUACAUUGUACAUGGAGCCCUGGGAAGUCUAAACAUCAUGGAAUGAAGGGUGGACCUUUCUAUUGUGAUCUAAGACUGAGGCCAUUCAGGGUUUUGAGUUGAAGUCUUUGCAAUGAGUUGAAAGUGUUUUAAGCCGGAGAUGGGCAAGUACUGGAGUCCGGGCCUGGCUCCUCUCCACAGUACUCCUUUGUUUAACUUGUCCUGCCCUGUCCUCUUUCUCCUCCUCCUCACAUCUCCAUUCUUCCUAUCCAAGUGUGUGUGUGUGUUUGUUUUCUCUUUUUUUUCCCUACUCUCUUUCUCCUUUUCCUUUUCUUGGGCAAUGUCUGACUCUAGCAGUUGCUUUCAGAUCUAAGAAACUUCUAAAGUUUGUUCCAGGGAAAAGUAGAAGAGACUAACUUGGGGAGAGGAGCUGGAUGAGGUGGAGAGAGAGAGAGGGGAGGGGUGACGACACAGGAUGUGAGUUGUUAGGUGCCAUAUGUGUCCUGACCUUGAGCCUCACGGUCUUCAUCCCAUGGGAGAGGAUUUGAAUCGACUCAGGGUGAGGAUGAGAUUGCCAGUGUCCCUCCCACUGCAGCUCCCCGUCUGCCUCUCUGACUGGGAGAGCCAUCCUUCCAACCUAGAGGCUCAAUGUGGCAUAGCUUCAUUUUCACACCUCCCUUACAGGCAGGACAGUAAUCUUCCAUAAUGGGUAGGAAGGAACAUUUGCUGACAGUCUUUGGGGAGAAAUUUUCUCCCCUUGAAAAUACGAUGCAUGAAGGAAAGACCUCUCUUUGUUUCUGGGUUCAUUCCUGCCUACCUGUGGUGUCUGGAACUGCUGCAGCAGCCUUGCUACCAUGACGAAGGCAUGGUGGAACACUCCAAGUAUGGUGGGGCAAAGACACAGAAAGGUCCUGUGUCCUUGAGACCACUGAGCUGCUCACCCAAGUUUGGAGCAUCUUAUAUAAUUGGCCUUCAUAUUUAAGGCAUUUUUUUUUACUUGGAGUUUCUGCUAUUUGCAGCUGAAAGAAAGCAUUUUGAUGAGAACAAGCAAGCAUGACCUCCUGGUUGGGCUUUAUUUUGUGCUGACUGUUAGUUUCUUUAGUGUCAUAUAUUAAACAGAUAAAGUUUUCUAUAUAUUUGUCCUCUUUCUCUACUGCUGUCUUCUGUCUCUAUUUGGAUUACUAUCCAGAAUCAGAAACUUCAUUCUUUGCUUGUUUCUAUAAAUUUUCCUAUUAAAAUGAAAUUCUUCAUAAGCCCAAAGUUUACAGCUCUCACACCAGAAUUAAAAAAAAAAAAAAUCAGUUUCAGUGAUCUUUUUCUGCUUUCUAAUGGGUGCUAAAAGAUACUGGCCUAAAUAAGGCAGAGUAUCACUUCUGGUAAGAUCUGUUAUAUUUUGCUGAUGCAAGCGCAAGAGGGGUCUUUCCUCUUGUUUUAUCCUUCCCUCUGUGUAUCUUUUCCAGAAACAAGGUCUGAAGGGUAUUUUGUAUUUAAUGAGUGGUGACUUGUAGUGAAAUAGUUUCUGGUGCCAUCAGCCCUCUUUGCAUUAUUGCUUCUGUGUGUGGCAAGAUAAAAAUUAUUUAUUAAUCUGUAAAGCCAGCUCAUCAUUUCACUCUGUUCCCUAAGAGCUUCUGGAUUUACUCAUUUGGUCUCUUUGUUCUGACCCCUCCAAGGAGAAUCCUAUAUUAUCUGUCAGCUUCUUAGGAUUCAGUGAAGGAGGAUCUGGAGGAAAGGAGGGUUGAGGCAGAAGGUGAUAAGAGAGGCUGGCCAGGAUGGGACUGAAGGAGGUUAUGGUGGAUUAAAGCUUGAGGAAAGGUAUAUGGGAACAGGUCUGGGUUCAGUUUAGGGGGCUGGGAGGUAUGCAUGCAGGGCUGGCAUUCACCCUGUUUGUAUUAGGAUGGCCCAAUUGAUUGCUCACCACCAGGGUUCCUUCUGAGAUCAGUCCCUGGGCUGUACCAGUUGUUAGUAUUU
ensembl:lncRNA